UUCACCCAUGCAGUUAAUGCAGUAAGGCCCGUGGCGAGACCACCACGUUGAUAGGCCGGAAGUGUACAGAUGGCAACAUCUUCAGCUGACCGGUACUAAUCGGCCGAGGGCUUGGAUUU
rnacentral:rRNA from 1 species